GACGUAGGGCGCGAGCGUUGUCCGGAUUUAUUGGGCGUAAAGAGCUCGUAGGCGGCUUGUCGCGUCGACUGUGAAAUCCCGCGGCUCAACUGCGGGUCUGCAGUCGAUACGGGCAGGCUCGAGUUCGGUAGGGGAGACUGGAAUUCCUGGUGUAGCGGUGAAAUGCGCAGAUAUCAGGAGGAACACCGGUGGCGAAGGCGGGUCUCUGGGCCGAUACUGACGCUGAGGAGCGAAAGCGUGGGGAGCGAACAGG
rnacentral:rRNA from 1 species